UGAGUGCUAGCCCAGUGGUCAGUGUGUGUGUGUGUUGUUAAGGUCAGGGGUUCGAUCCCCCUGCACCUAU
rnacentral:tRNA from 1 species